GAUGAACGCUGGCGGCGUGCCUAAUACAUGCAAGUCGAGCGAACGGACGAGAAGCUUGCUUCUCUGAUGUUAGCGGCGGACGGGUGAGUAACACGUGGAUAACCUACCUAUAAGACUGGGAUAACUUCGGGAAACCGGAGCUAAUACCGGAUAAUAUUUUGAACCGCAUGGUUCAAAAGUGAAAGACGGUCUUGCUGUCACUUAUAGAUGGAUCCGCGCUGCAUUAGCUAGUUGGUAAGGUAACGGCUUACCAAGGCAACGAUGCAUAGCCGACCUGAGAGGGUGAUCGGCCACACUGGAACUGAGACACGGUCCAGACUCCUACGGGAGGCAGCAGUAGGGAAUCUUCCGCAAUGGGCGAAAGCCUGACGGAGCAACGCCGCGUGAGUGAUGAAGGUCUUCGGAUCGUAAAACUCUGUUAUUAGGGAAGAACAUAUGUGUAAGUAACUGUGCACAUCUUGACGGUACCUAAUCAGAAAGCCACGGCUAACUACGUGCCAGCAGCCGCGGUAAUACGUAGGUGGCAAGCGUUAUCCGGAAUUAUUGGGCGUAAAGCGCGCGUAGGCGGUUUUUUAAGUCUGAUGUGAAAGCCCACGGCUCAACCGUGGAGGGGUCAUUGGAAACUGGAAAACUUGAGUGCAGAAGAGGAAAGUGGAAUUCCAUGUGUAGCGGUGAAAUGCGCAGAGAUAUGGAGGAACACCAGUGGCGAAGGCGACUUUCUGGUCUGUAACUGACGCUGAUGUGCGAAAGCGUGGGGAUCAAACAGGAUUAGAUACCCUGGUAGUCCACGCCGUAAACGAUGAGUGCUAAGUGUUAGGGGGUUUCCGCCCCUUAGUGCUGCAGCUAACGCAUUAAGCACUCCGCCUGGGGAGUACGACCGCAAGGUUGAAACUCAAAGGAAUUGACGGGGACCCGCACAAGCGGUGGAGCAUGUGGUUUAAUUCGAAGCAACGCGAAGAACCUUACCAAAUCUUGACAUCCUUUGACAACUCUAGAGAUAGAGCCUUCCCCUUCGGGGGACAAAGUGACAGGUGGUGCAUAGUUGUCGUCAGCUCGUGUCGUGAGAUGUUGGGUUAAGUCCCGCAACGAGCGCAACCCUUAAGCUUAGUUGCCAUCAUUAAGUUGGGCACUCUAAGUUGACUGCCGGUGACAAACCGGAGGAAGGUGGGGAUGACGUCAAAUCAUCAUGCCCCUUAUGAUUUGGGCUACACACGUGCUACAAUGGACAAUACAAAGGGCAGCGAAACCGCGAGGUCAAGCAAAUCCCAUAAAGUUGUUCUCAGUUCGGAUUGUAGUCUGCAACUCGACUACAUGAAGCUGGAAUCGCUAGUAAUCGUAGAUCAGCAUGCUACGGUGAAUACGUUCCCGGGUCU
rnacentral:rRNA from 1 species